AUGAAAAUUAAUGCAAGACUCAGAUGGAGCAACCUGACGCUGUGGGGCUCAGGAGCCCGGGGGGAGGAGGACACUACUAGUGGUCAGUUUUCCACGCGCUCUUCGCGGUUGAAGAAAGUUUGCAGAAAGAAGAAAAGGAAACUUGCUCAGCUCAAGCCUCAGAAGCACCUCCCCAGGGUAAAAAGAGGGCUUGGUGAGAAGGUUGGCGGCAGUGAAGUGUGGCUUCAAGCAGCACAGGAGGGGUCAUGCAGUGAGUUUUGCACUUUAUUUUCUAGUGGUUUUGGUGAUCUGGACAGACUUCAAAACUCUGGACUGAGAAGUAACUCUGGCUGUGUGGUCGUGACUUCAGGAAAGCAAGGUCAGGAUAACAUUUCAAGGUAGCAGUUGAAACCAGUAUUUAUAAAAUAAAUAUCAAGGAACAUCCA
rnacentral:lncRNA from 1 species